rnacentral:rRNA from 1 species
CUUGCUAAGUUUGGUGGCGACCGGCGCACGGGUGAGUAACACGUAUCCAACCUGCCGAUGACUCGGGGAUAGCCUUUCGAAAGAAAGAUUAAUACCCGAUGGCAUAGUUCUUCCGCACGGUAGAACUAUUAAAGAAUUUCGGUCAUCGAUGGGGAUGCGUUCCAUUAGGUUGUUGGCGGGGUAACGGCCCACCAAGCCUUCGAUGGAUAGGGGUUCUGAGAGGAAGGUCCCCCACAUUGGAACUGAGACACGGUCCAAACUCCUACGGGAGGCAGCAUG